UACGUAGGGAGCAAGCGUUGUCCGGAAUCAUUGGGCGUAAAGCGCGCGUAGGCGGCCUCAUAAGUCCGUUGUGAAAGUCAAAGGCUCAACCUUUGAAAGCCGAUGGAUACUGUGAGGCUAGAGUCCGGAAGAGGCGAGUGGAAUUCCUGGUGUAGCGGUGGAAUGCGCAGAUAUCAGGAGGAACACCAAUAGCGAAGGCAGCUCGCUGGGACGGUACUGACGCUGAGACGCGAAAGCGUGGGGAGCAAACAGG
rnacentral:rRNA from 1 species